GCGCAUCGCUAGGGGUGUCGAACCGGAUUUUCCGGGGCUGACUGAGAGAGUCCCUUUGAACCUGACUGAGGUAAUCCUCGCGCAGGGAAGCUGGUCCGGUGGCCU
rnacentral:ncRNA from 1 species